rnacentral:tRNA from 1 species
UUAACGUAGCAAAACCUGGUAUUGCAAAAGAUCUAAGCCCUUUUUACAGAAGUUCAAGUCUUCUCGUUAACUUUGAAUAUUUAC